rnacentral:tRNA from 1 species
GAGGGUAGAGCUCAGGGGCAGAGCAUGUACUUAACAUGCACAAGGUCCUGGGUUCAAUCCCCAGUCCCUCG